rnacentral:rRNA from 1 species
UGGGGAAUAUUGCACAAUGGGCGGAAGCCUGAUGCAGCGACGCCGCGUGGGGGAUGAAGGCCUUCGGGUUGUAAACUCCUUUCGACAGGGACGAAGCUUUUGUGACGGUACCUGUAUAAGAAGCACCGGCUAACUACGUGCCAGCAGCCGCGGUAAUACGUAGGGUGCGAGCGUUGUCCGGAAUUACUGGGCGUAAAGAGCUCGUAGGUGGUUUGUCGCGUCGUCUGUGAAAUUCCGGGGCUUAACUCCGGGCGUGCAGGCGAUACGGGCUGACUUGAGUGCUGUAGUGGAGACUGGAAUUCCUCGUGUAGCGGUGAAAUGCGCAGAUAUCAGGAGGAACACCGAUGGCGAAGGCAGGUCUCUGGGCAGUAACUGACGCUGAGGAGCGAAAGCAUGGGUAGCGAACAGG